UACAGAGGUCUCAAGCGUUGUUCGGAUUCAUUGGGCGUAAAGGGUGCGUAGGCGGCGCGGUAAGUCGGGUGUGAAAACCCGCGGCUCAACUGCGGGCUUGCAGCCGAUACGGGCAGGCUAGAGUUCGGUAGGGGAGACUGGAAUUCCUGGUGUAGCGGUGAAAUGCGCAGAUAUCAGGAGGAACACCGAUGGCGAAGGCAGGUCUCUGGGCCACUACUGACGCUGGAGAAGCGAAAGCAUGGGGAGCGAACAGG
rnacentral:rRNA from 1 species